CAGGGAUGUCCAUGUGCAGCAGACGUCCGUGAAGUCAGGGGUGUUCCUACGCGUCGUCGUCAAUGCAGCUUCACUAGUCCGGGGCCAGCCCGCAGCAGAGAAGAGCCAUGCUGGUCCGGGAUGCUUCUUAUGUAGCUCCGCCCCCUUUGUGACAUCAUUGCUAGAGUCAGGGCUACACAAGAAGAGACCAAGUCCAGCAACAAAAUGAGGCCAGUUGAAGCAUGCAAGAUUGCGAAACAAUGCUGUCGCCUUGUGGUACCCCCCUCCCUCCUCUGCUUGUCGUCCUGUCCUGUAUGAGAUGUGAGCAUUUCUGAAGAAAAGGAGAUACUCUGAAGACGUGGUGAAUGCCGACUUUUCAUUUCUUCUUCUGAUGUCUAAUACAGAAAAGGACUAAGCAAAAAAAAUAAAUUAUAAUAAAUGUCAUCUGGUGGUCCUACACUUCACGUUACAAAGACAAGCCUUAUAGACAAAGAGAGGGGGAAAAAAAACAACAACACAAAAAGAAAAAAAACUUUCCUCAUAACAAAAUCCUAUUUUAUGUAUCCACCUUUCCAUAUCAGAGUACAGUAGGGA